rnacentral:rRNA from 1 species
UACGGAGGGUGCAAGCGUUAUCCGGAUUUAUUGGGUUUAAAGGGUGCGUAGGCGGGACGAUAAGUCAGUGGUGAAAUCCUACAGCUUAACUGUAGAAUUGCCAUUGAUACUGUUGUUCUUGAGUCUAGUUGAAGUUAGCGGAAUGUGGCAUGUAGCGGUGAAAUGCAUAGAUAUGCCACAGAACACCGAUUGCGAAGGCA